GAGACCGGGAGGUUAAGCAAAUCCCAAAAAUAACGUCUCAGUUCGGAUUGUAGUCUGCAACUCGACUACAUGAAGCCGGAAUCGCUAGUAAUCGCGGAUCAGAAUGCCGCGGUGAAUACGUUCCCGGGUCUUGUACACACCGCCCGUCACACCAUGGGAGCUGGAAAUGCCCGAAGUCGGUGACCCAACCUUCGGGAGGGAGCCGCCGAAGGCAGGUCCGGUAACUGGGGUGAAGUCGUAACAAGGUAAC
rnacentral:rRNA from 1 species